UACAUACCUGGCCCAGCCUGUGAGAAAGAAGCUGUAAAAAUCUUGACAUAGGUUGACCGUCAAAAUCUGGACCUUUCCAUGCCGGCAGCUGGGAGGGGUGCCUAGCAAUGCCAAGGGGACGUCACUCGCAGCCUCAUCACCACCUGUCUCCUUGUGUCCUCUGGCCCAGAAUUUCAAACGUUCAUCAUUAAAACUCAUACCUGCCCAAAGCUUAAACAAUUUCCAUCAUUUUGAUACCAAGCAUGCACCUGUACACCAAAAACGGCAGGCUGGCAGCAAAAAAAGACUUUACACCCUAAAAUACACAGAACUACAAUCGUCCCUACUGAAAAACGGAAGUUGUAAAGGGGGUCUGUGUCCCUCUGUCAUGCCGACCGUCAUCAAAUAAGGGAAGACAAUCGCAAGUACAGAAUGUAUACCACGACCCGGAAACCUAGGAACUCCCUUGUGUAAUGACAGUUUUCUUAUUCUGUUGCAGCGUUACUGCUGGGUACUAAUGGACAACCAGAAAAUUUUACGUGUAGGUACAACGGGCAUAUUUACACCAUUGGAGAAUUCUUUAUGUCCACUGACGGAUGUAACAGCUGCAUAUGUACCUCACCCGGAAGUGUGGCGUGCACGCAGAGAGCGUGCAUAACUUUACCGCCAUUUUAAAGGCGGGCAGUUCAUGCGAUGUUAUACAAACCAUGUAUAGAACGCGCUGGGAAGCUAAUCUAUUAUAUUGUUCAUUAAUAAGGAAGCAGCUCCUAACAUAUACCGGUUGUUGUGUAAGAAAACCGUUUUCAAAAUCUUGAUGUUAGUGUAAAUAACGAAGUGUUCAGUAAUAAUAAUUAUAAUAAUCAGAAUAUCUUUAUUUCACACAAAGCAGUCGAAAUUUAUAAAUACCACCAUGAUAAAAGCCCUGCAAAAUCAAUAGAAUUACAGUGAUCUAACAAUAAUAAUAUAAUUAAGAUGUCCAGCAUAGAAACAAAUGUAUACACGUUCAUGGUUUUAGGCAUUGUUUUGCAGUUAUAGACCUUCUUUCGUUCUCUUCUUUCGAGAACAGACAAUACUACAGUACGUUUAUAAACAUGAAAUACACAACUAUCCUUGAAAAAUAUCUCAGUUUGCAGUAUUACUUAAUUGCAGUAAACUGCUAUCACUAAUAUUUGUUGUAUAUGUAAUAGAAAUAAAGCAGCAAUUUCCUUCAGA